UACGGAAGGUCCGGGCGUUAUCCGGAUUUAUUGGGUUUAAAGGGAGCGCAGGCGGGAUGGUAAGCGUGCUGUGAAAUGUACCGGCUCAACCGGUGACGUGCAGCGCGAACUGCCUUUCUUGAGUGCACUCGAGGGAUGCGGAAUUCGUGGUGUAGCGGUGAAAUGCUUAGAUAUCACGAAGAACUCCGAUUGCGAAGGCAGCGUCCCAGCGUGUUACUGACGCUAAAGCUCGAAGGUGCGGGUAU
rnacentral:rRNA from 1 species